rnacentral:rRNA from 1 species
CCUACGGGAGGCUGCAGUAAGGAAUAUUGGACAAUGGGCGCAAGCCUGAUCCAGCCAUGCCGCGUGAAGGAUGAAGGGCUCUGCAUUGUAAACUUCUUUUUUGAUACUCCAUGUACCAAAAGAAUAAGGGACGGCUAACUUCGUGCCAGCAGCCGCGGUAAUACGAAGGUCCCAAGCGUUAUCCGGAUUUAUUGGGUUUAAAGGGUGCGUAGGCGGGUUAUUAAGUCAGUGGUGAAAGCCUUCAGCUUAACUGAAGAAUUGCCAUUGAUACUGAUGAUCUUGAGUAUGAUUGAGGUGGGCGGAAUGUGUCAUGUAGCGGUGAAAUGCUUAGAUAUGACACAGAACACCGAUUGCGAAGGCAGCUCACUAAUCUAACUGACGCUGAUGCACGAAAGCGUGGGGAGCAAACAGGAUUAGAUACCCUUGUAGUC